AAUGAACGUUGGCGGCGUGGAUUAGGCAUGCAAGUCGAGCGAGAUGGGUUUGGUGCUUGCAUUAAACCCUGAAAGCGGCGAAAGGGAGAGUAACGCGUAGGAUACCUGCCCUCGGGCCCGGGAUAGCGGCGGGAAACUGCCGGUAAUACCGGAUAACGUCCCCGGACCAAAGGUGAGAUUCCGCCUGAGGAUGGUCCUGCGUCCUAUUAGUUUGUUGGUGAGGUAAUGGCUCACCAAGACGAUGAUGGGUAGCGGGCGUGAGAGCGUGGCCCGUCUCACUGGGACUGAGACACUGCCCAGACCCCUACGGGUGGGUGCAGUCGAGAAUCUUCCGCAAUGGACGCAAGUCUGACGGAGCGACGCCGCGUGCGGGAUGAAGGCCUUCGGGUUGUAAACCGCUGUCAGUGGGGUGGAAAUCGGUUGGGGUUCUCCCCUUCCGUUGACCUAACCGCAGAGGAAGUCCGGGCUAAGUACGUGCCAGCCGCCGCCGUAAGAC
rnacentral:rRNA from 1 species